CCCUUCUGCGCGCCCAGGGUACGGGUGAUUUGGCUUUGCCUUCCUUGGCUUUUUGGAACUUGGGAAAAGGUACCGAGGUGCAUGGAUAUGGAGAAGAGAAGCUCUCCUGCUGUGGCUGAGAGGUGAUCCAAAGGAGGCCUCCCGAGCAAGCACCACAAAGGCAGCUUGCUUCUCCAGAGGCUGCAGCAUAAGCUCGUGUUCCUUGUGGAGGACUCCGUUGUGCAUCUGCAGGAGCUGCUUUGGCAUGGAGGAUUUUGUGGAGUUGCUGCCAGUCGUUGCUGGAAAAGAAGGGUGACUUGUGGGCUCUGAGGAGGGGAUUUUGUGUUUUCAUGGCAUACAAAUGCAUUCCCUUUUCUGAUGUGUUUUUGUGCAUUGGUGUUUCAGGCGUGUGAGUGAGGACUCUCCGCUGGAAUUUGUACCGAGAAGAGCCCAGGUGAGGAAUGGAGCAACGUGCCUUGGUGCUGUGUUUGACUGGGGGAGCGGGCAAGGAGGAAUGUUUGUAAAGGUGUAGUUGCUCUGGAUUUCACUGAGCGGGACGAGUCUGGGCUGAAGUUUUCUGUCAUUCUGUUUGUUGCAUCGGAACGGCUGCCUCGGUAGAUUGGAGGGAGGGAGGGAGGGAGAGGGAGAUUUUAAAGCUGGAAGCAGUCCAGAGCAGAUGGCAUUUCUGCCUGCUUUGAUGACGCUGUUCAAAGUCUUUGGGUCUGCAGUGCGGCUAUGCAAGGUCCUGAUUCAAAGGCAGGAUUCAAUCCAGUCGCAGCUCAUUGCGGGCAAAUGCUUCUCUUAAGUGGUCUUCUGAAUCAGCAGUGUCAGGGAUUUUACAGUGUGUGUGUUGCUGUGGCUGGCAGUCUUUGCAGUUAGGAACGUCUUCCUGUGUUUUUCUGUUCCGAAUAGGAUCCCAUCCUUGAGCUGCAUUAGAAGCAAAUUGUGAUAUCAUGUGCGGUAAGAAAGGGCAGAGGAGCAGGCUCCUCCGGGUGGUGAUCACGUCAGCAAGCUGUUGGAGCUGAAGGAGCAUUUGGACAAUGCUCUCGGAGCUCGGGUUUGCAUUUUGGUGGCCCUGUGUGGGGUGAGGAGUUGGACUUGGUGGCCUUUGUGGGUCCUGUCCAACUUUGGCUGUUCUCUGGUUCUGUGAGCAGCGGACAGGGCUGAUUUGGCGCAAGCUCCCGUUCCACGUUCAGCAUCGUAGGUGCUGUUAGGAGCUGAGGUGGGUGCCGUGGCAGGCGGCUCCUCAGUGGUGGUACUCCAGUGAUGGGGGUCAUCCUGCCGUGUUUCUGGGAUAGCAACAAGGUCACAACUUUCCAAGUGCAUCAGUGUUUCCAACUCCUUCUGCUUAUUUCCCAGGCCGUGUGCAUUGUCAUAAAGGCACUUCAGCUGGGCUUCCUGUCUCACGGCCUUUCUUUUCUGGAGGAUCUAGGAUUCCCUAGAACAUCCUCCUGCUCUUCUCAGCAGGAGGAUGUUCUAGGGAAUCCUGCUGUUCUAGGGAAUCUACUCAGCCACUUCCCCGGGCAUCCCAUUCCAGUGGCUGUCCACUCUUCCAGAGAAUCAGUUCUUCCUCAUAUCUCCCCUGAACCUCCCCUCGCACAACUUGAGUGACUGGAAAAGGAGAGACAUAAACCCCAUUUUUGAAAAGGCCAAAAGGAAGACCUGGGGAACUACAGGCCUGUCAGUUGAUUAUGAAGGAAGUCUUCAGGAAACUAUAGUAAAGCAAGCCGAAAACAGAGGUGAUUGGUGACAGCCCUUACUUCACUAAGGGCAAAUCAUGCGUGACCGAUUUGUUGUUCUUCUACGAUGGCAUUAUAGCAUUAGUGGGUAAGGCUGAAGCCUGAGCUUCUGCUGUCAUCUAUCUGGACUGACGUGGAUUUGACAGAUGGACAGUUGAGUGGUCCAUUAAUUGACUUAGCUGGACAGUUAGACUGAGUGGUUGCCGUCAACCAUUGUCGCUCAUUGUGAAGGCAGAGACCAGUGGUGACCCUCAGGAAUCCAUUGGUGGAGCUAUUCAAGAAAUAUUUAGCUGUGGUACUAAGGUACGUGGUUUAGUGGGCAAUAUUGGCAGUAGGUGGACCGUAGGAGUAGAAGAUCUGGAGAAGCGGAGGCUCAGGGGAGAUCUUCUCUCUCUCUAUAAAUCCCUGAGAGGAGGCUGUGGCAAAGUGGGGAUUGGCCUGUGCCCCCAGGUAACAGCGAUAGGAAAAGAGGGAAUCAGAAUCACCAAGGCAGGAGAGGAUCUCCAAGGUGAUCGAGUGCGACCGUCCACCUACCACCGCUUCCCCACUAAACCAUGUCCCUUAGUUCAGCAUUUAAACAUUUCUUGGACACCUCUGUGGAUGGUGACUCAACCACUUCCCCGGGCAGGCUGCUCCAGUGCCUGACCACUCUCUCUGAGGAUAAAUUAUUCUUAAUAUCCAUCCUGAACCUCCCCUGGCGCAACUUGAGGCCAUUCCAUCUCAUCCUAUUGAUAGUGAGAUGGGAGAAGAGGCCAACUCUCACCUGGUCACAACCUCCUUUCAGGGAGAUGUUGUGAGCUAUGAGCCCUCAAGUUGCGUAACCGUUGGGGUUAUGGCAACUGAUUGAAAAUGAUGGGAUGGAAAGUAAUGAGUUUCCUCAUAGGAGACACUCAUCUUGAGCUGUCAAUCUGAAGAAGUGCAAACAGAUGCGGACAAAGGAGAGUCAAUGCGGUGUAUUGAAAAAACAUGCAAGGACAUGACACAUAAGUUGCCAGGUUUGUGGGAAGGUCAUAUAGCGUACCUCCCCAUAUUUAUUUUUCAGACAUCAUCCUCCGUGCUAGUGAGGCUUUAUCUGCUUGGUUUUCAGGGCAAGUUUCACAUUCAGGGAUAUCCUGUGCAGUAGCGUCCUUGUUGCAGACCCUGUUUCUGUAUUGCGUCUCUUCCUCUGUGACACCCCAGGGGUGUCACGGGCCCGCUGAGCAAGAAGAAAUUCCUUGUUGAGGUUGUCAAGGCACUAUGAAAGUUUUCCCGGCAAAGCUGUGGAUGCCCCGUCCGUGGAGGUGUUCAAGGCCUGGUUGGGUGGCGUCCUGGGCUGCCUGGCCCAGUGGGUGGCAUCGCUGCACACAGUGGUGGGGUUGGACGUACCACUUGUUUAACGUCCCCUCCAAGCCAGGCCAUUCUAUGGUGCUGUGAUUCUACGAUGUAAGUGUGACAAACGUCAGCUGUGGUUUUCUGUAGGUGUCAGGGAAUGGUCCCCCACGGUGAUGGUGCCCAGAGCAAGGGACAGAGCUCUGCGCCUACCCUGGGAGGACUCUCACCCUCCUGAGCUGCCCAACAGGAUGUGUUCACUGGGGGAGGUGGCUGCACUGCAGCUUCGCUGCCACGGUUGCGCCCAAAUAGCCCCUUCUCUCCCCAGCAGAGGUGCCCCAAGCAGCGACCCCAGGCAGCCCUGGUGCAGCGCAUCACAAGACAAGGGGUACACGGGGAGCCUCCUACCCAGCAUCACGAGGCCGUGAAGUCGCAGUGCCCCACCUUGCUGUGCUGAGCCGUGAGGUCAUAACGCCCAUCUGUGACGUCUGUCCCGAGCUACAGGAUCACUGUGUGCCUGCCCCGACAGCAGCACUUGCUGUGGCUGCAGCAGCUGUGGUGGCAGCAUGGCACGAGUGUGGGGGUCCGUGGCCCCUGUCCGUCUCGUUGUUGUCCUCCUCCUUACCGCUGUGUGUUCCCUGGAGAGCUUUGCUGCUCCGUGGCGAGCACCGGGAGCAGGUGGGUGGGCAGAGAGGGGGCCAAAACUGAGCAGCACUGGGGGCCAGAAGUCAGGCUGUAUCCCCAUGGCGCCAGAGCACGGUUCCCUGGGGCCUGCUUUCCAUGGUGGGCAGAUGGUGAUGGGCAGCACCUCAGGGGCCAGGAAAGAGCCCGUGGCAGCUCUGCUCCCCAGGGCUGGUUCCAGCCGUUGUCGGGCCGUGACUUGGCCUCUUGCUGGCUGGAGCACAGCCUUCAUCCUGGGAGUUGUCGUAGGGGGGAAGUUUAGAGGAUGUGUGCUGGGAAAAGUGUGAGCGUUUCUGACCCAGCCUCAUGGCACUCCCCGUAGUCGAAUGCCAGUAUUCAGCACAGCCCUGGCUCGCAGCGCAGAGGAAGAGACAGGCAUGGUUUCCUCCAGUGUGACCUUCCUUUGUGUACGUGAGAGAUCUCCCAGUAAGAAAGCCCCGAGGGGCUGUAUCUUCUUCCACACGGUCCAUGAGGCAUGUGGAGAGAGUAUUUUGUAAGCUGCCGGGUGCCAGCCAACAGGUCCUCCUGGCUGCUCUGCAACUUUGGAAAUCACGGCCUGAGUCUUUCUUCCGUGCCGUUACCUGACCCACCUCCGGCUACUAAGGGAGAAGAUUGCAACAUGCAAUGGGAACUAGUCUUGUCUGUUCUUCUUGAUUCUAGAUGGCGCCUUUG